GUGGGUGCCUGGCUAACUCCGGAGGUGGUGGGUGCCUGGCUAACUCCGGAGGUGGUGGGUGCCUGGCUAACUCCGGAGGUGGUGGGUGUCCGGCUAACUCCGGAGGUGGUGGGUGUCUGACUAACUCCGGAGGUGGUGGGUGCCUGACUAACUCCGGAGGUGGUGGGUGCCUGGCUAACUCCGGAGGUGGUGGGUGCCUGGCUAACUCCGGAGGUGGUGGGUGUCCGGCUAACUCCGGAGGUG